GGCAAAUGCGGAGCGGGAGCGGCGGUAAGAUGGAGUAUGCAAGGGUGAGUCGGAAGCAAUGGGGUUAAAGGGUGCGUAGGCGGCCGUAGAAGGCAGCGGUUGAAGUUGUUGGCUGAACCAAAAAAUGGCAAGUGGUGCUGUAGAGCUGGAAUAUUUGUGAAGGAACUAGAAUAUGUAGUGUAGCGGUGAAAUGCUGAGAUAUUACAUGGAAUACCAAUUGCGAAGGAAGGGUACUAACAAAUGAUUGACGCUGAUGGACGAAAGCGUGGGUAGCGAACAGGAUUAGAUACCCUAGUAGUC
rnacentral:rRNA from 1 species